AAUAUAAAACAUAAUUUUAAUCAGCAACAACUACACCAAAAUUCACUCACCUUGCAAGGCGCUCUGCGUAGUCCUAGUGCUUGGGGAAGCCUCUUAUAUAGCUGUUACUCUUACAUUACUGUUUACUCAGCAAAAGUAUCAAGCUAUGUUUGGUAAUGGAUUCUUGCUCUAAGUAUCCCUAAUUGGAAAUCAUCACAAUGUGCUCAUGUAUCAUAUCACAUUCUAUGAAAUUUAGUUUUCUUAUAGCUUGGUCACUGCAGUAGCUGAUUAAUUAAACUUCUAACCAAAACAGUUGAGAUAUUUCAAAACAAAAUGUAACACAAUAUUCUUCAAAUAGUAUUAUAUCUCUUAAAGAAUUUCUUUAGUUCUUUUCAAUUAAUUUUUAAAUACAUUUAUGGCUUUUGGGGAUUUUUUACAAUGAAAAUGAUUGAAUAUUUCAAUAUUUGAAUCCAACCCUAAAUGUGUGGCAGCUAAAUGAUUUAAUGGGUAAUUCACUUAAUAUAAUUUAUAAGAUUAUUUCCUCUGCAAGUGAUCCUAAAUUCAUAAGAAAAGUAUUUUUUUGAAAGUGUUGUGGCACUUAAAAAACUAAAUUAAAUUUGUAGAACAUGUUAUUAGUGUUUUGUUACAUGUUCAUUGCAAUUUUUUCAUUCUAUACCUUUUCAAUCCAAAUGAUUAAUUUCAUUUAUGUUUAAUUUAUGUUCUAUUUUUUGACAAGAAACAAACCCAGGCCUUUUGGGAAUCAAAGUGUAAAUAUCAAAUAUCCUUUCUAAAAUGCUAUAAAAAAAAUACCAGGUCGAAUUCAUCUUUUUAAAACUUAAACAAUUAAACUAGAAGCAGCAUAUAAUACAUCAUUUAUGUCAUCUGCUCUCUUAUCUGAGAUGCCCACAGAUACAUCAUUUUAAUUACAGGGUUUUAAUUUCCUAAUCAAGUUAAUUAAUUUACAUAUAUACAAAACCUGAAACCUAGACUAAUGCUACCAAAAUAGUGAUAAGUCCAGCUGAGCAGAAUGCAAGCAGAGAAUCAAAUGAAAAUAAAACCAUUGAUUUAUUCCUAGUGCCAGUUUCUAAACUGUAUUUCAAAAUGAAAAGUAAUAUGCUUUGGCAGAUGCAAUAAAAACUGAGAUGGCAAUGCCUGCCAUAUUCUAGAUUCAUAAAUUGAAAUUGAAACACAAUAUCACAGCAUAAUAUUCUUAUUAGGAAUCAGUGCAAAUAUAGAAGCUGUCUCUCAGGGGUCAAGGCUUUUAGUCCACUUAUGAAGGCAGUAUAAAAGAGUUUAUCCAGGUCCCCAAAGGGUUUUCCACACAUUUAUAAAGGGCAGUCUCUAAAGUAUUUAGGUGGAAAUGUACAAGUUGAGAGGUGUGUCAAAACGUAACUUGGAAUCACCUCAAUUUCACAGCUUUUGGUUCUCUUCACAUGGACUCAGUAUUGUCAGUAUACUCUCUUGGAUUGGUAACCAAAAAACCUUUCUGUGAAGUGUCUCUGCUCUUGGCUCUCAGCUUGUUGACCUGGGACUCAGCGAUGUCAGCACGCUCCUGAGCUUCCUCCAUCUCAUGCUGCACCUUCCUGAACCUGGACAGAUCUUGGCUGUCUUGACAUGGCUCAACAAUGUCAACAUGCUUUCUUAGAAUGGUAACCCAAAGCAUAUUGCUGCAUCUGGACAGACAAAGAACUUGAUGAGAAGAAAUGGCACCUGGCAAUAACCGAGUACCAUGUAGAGGAGGAGGGGCUCCCCUUUGAGUCUCGACUCCUCUCAAGCUUGUUCACCUGGGACUCAGCGAUGUCAGCGCGCUCCUGAGCUUCCUCCAUCUCAUGCUGCACCUUCCUGAACCUGGACAGGUGAGUGUUGGC